CCUACGGGUGGCUGCAGUGGGGAAUAUUGGACAAUGGGCGAAAGCCUGAUCCAGCCAUGCCGCGUGUGUGAAGAAGGCCUUCGGGUUGUAAAGCACUUUCAGUGGGGAAGAAAGCCUUGGGGCUAAUACCCUCGAGGAAGGACAUCACCCACAGAAGAAGCACCGGCUAACUCCGUGCCAGCAGCCGCGGUAAUACGGAGGGUGCGAGCGUUAAUCGGAAUUACUGGGCGUAAAGCGCGCGUAGGCGGUCUGAUAAGCCGGUUGUGAAAGCCCCGGGCUCAACCUGGGAACGACAUCCGGAACUGUCAGGCUAGAGUGCAGGAGAGGAAGGUAGAAUUCCCGGUGUAGCGGUGAAAUGCGUAGAGAUCGGGAGGAAUACCAGUGGCGAAGGCGGCCUUCUGGACUGACACUGACGCUGAGGUGCGAAAGCGUGGGUAGCAAACAGGAUUAGAUACCCCUGUAGUC
rnacentral:rRNA from 1 species